rnacentral:lncRNA from 1 species
AAAGAUUAACUUUCGAUUCUCAUUCAUACUUUUACUGGUGUACAAUAAUCUUGAUUAACCCUUGAGUCCAAUAUCAUAUUUAAACCAUCAUAUAGAUUUACUAUAAUCAAUAUGAAUCAAAUCUUAAUUCUCAUAUCAAUUCAAUUCGAUUAUUUCCAAACCAAAAAUCCUUAUAAGUCAAAUCAAUAAAAAAAAUCCUUCGAUGCUCCACCAAAUUUGGACAUAAUCAGAAUAUAUAAGAAUUUCAAAUCAUUAUUUUGUUUUCUAAAAUUUCUAUCAUCAGGAUCUUCAAUCUCUAUCAAAUAUCCUUUCAUAACAAUCAUACAAACUUCAAAAAAUCAAAUCUCCAUUUAAUAGUAGAUUCAAUUAGAGACCUCGUUAACAAAAGCAAAGGAACUCCAUAUCAAUUCUUAAAUCCAAAAUUUCUAAAUUGUAAAUUCACAUGGAUCCCUUAAUCUGAAAUAAAUAUAAAUCAGAUCUUUUAUCUUAAUCUA